rnacentral:tRNA from 1 species
GAGCGCAUCCUUGGUAAGGAUGAGGUCAUCGGUUCAACUCCGAUUGUGGGCUCCA